UCCACGCCGUAAACGAUGAUAACUCGUUGUUGGCGAUACACAGUCAGCGACCAAGCGAAAGCGAUAAGUUAUCCACCUGGGGAGUACGAUCGCAAGGUUGAAACUCAAAGGAAUUGACGGGGGCCCGCACAAGCGGUGGAGCAUGUGGUUUAAUUCGAUGAUACGCGAGGAACCUUACCUGGGCUUAAAUGCAGAGUGACAGAUCCUGAAAGGGA
rnacentral:rRNA from 1 species